CAGAACCGUUGCUGCACGUUCCUACCUCAGGUGCACGUUGUGCAGUUUAAACUUUGCCAUUAACAAAGUUCUUUAAGAUUAUGUAUAUUGUCUGGCGGUGUUAUGCUUCAUGAACAGAGACAGUAAGAAAAAAUAGAGCAGAGAGGUUUUACUGAAAGAGCAGUGAGCCAAAUCUGAAAUUGUCACCAGAGGCAGUGGCUGAUCAAUGGACCAAACUAGGACACAAACAUUGCCGUUUAAAAAAUUAUUUCUGAGUACUUUUAGCUCAUUAGGCCCCUAGAAAAGUUGUGUAAUUGGGUGUUAACAAAUGUUCCUAACAAUUUCAUUGUGAACCACUACCUGUGGUGGAGUGGUUGGGGGAGACAGUGCCAAAUUAGAAGAUGAAGUAGAGCGGAUUUAGAAGUGGACACUGUUGUUUUGUUUCUUAUAGCCUUGCUGUGGAAACCAAUUUCUCCUCAGACUCACCUCAGUACUGGCAACCCAUAUCUCCCCCUCGUCGUGAUAAGCUGACCAACCCAUUCCUUCACGACUUGACGGCCCUGUAAUUGUCGAAAAAGCUGGCCUCUUCUUACUCAAACUAAUUAAGAGAAGACAGGAAGUGUUCACGGUCACAAACAUGCAUGGAGGACAGCGGAUUCUGUGUCCAAUUACCACCAUUAAGACUCAAGGCGCCGAACCUACGCGCAGAGUCGCUAGAAUGCAAUGAGACAAGGCGCCCCAUCCGACAUCGUGCUCGGCUACCUCGAUCUGUGCUGGUGAGGUUCACGUCGCCCAUUGCCCUUCCUGGAGCAUCUGAUUGUAGCUAGCUACUUCCCACUUCGUAAUGUCAUCAAAAGAAACUAGAGAAUGCCGUGUUUGCCGUAAAUGAGACAAUUUGUCAAAACUGGUGCCACAGCUACCAAUAAGCAAAGGAGGUAGAUUUUACACAAAGACAGUUCGCUCAGACACAC
ensembl:lncRNA